rnacentral:rRNA from 1 species
GACGUAGGCAGCGAGCGUUGUUCGGUGUUACUGGGCUUAAAGGGCGCGUAGGCGGCCCGCUAUGUCGGUUGUGAAAUACCUCGGCUCAACCGAGGAACGGCUUCCGAAACUAGCGGGCUCGAGGCAUUUAAGGGUGACUGGAACUCUUGGUGGAGCGGUGAUAUGCGUAGAUAUCAAGAGGAACGCCGGAGGUGAAGACGGGUCACUAGGGAUGUCCUGACGCUGAGGCGCGAAAGCUAGGGGAG